UCUGAGGUAAGGUUUGAUUAGUUUUAGUCUAGGGAGAUGGCAGCAGGAAGUCUGACAGAAUGAACCUUGACUGCUGUCAUAGCCCAGUGUAGAGAGCAAGCUUGGAUUCACAUACCUGCCACCGGUAAGGAGACAUGAAGGCCUGAGAAGAGGGUUUGCAGACCCUGGAGCCCGGAAUGGAGAGUGGUACACCAGAUGGAGGGAUCAGGCAUUUGUUUUUGUUGGACUUUUCAUUACCCCAAAUGGGGAGAGACUAUUGUCUGAGGGGUGAGUCAUGCAAAGUGAGACGACUGCAGGAUCGGGUGUCUGUCAGCAUCAGUCUGGGGUGCUAGACAAUGAAACUGGCCAUGCCUUGCCACGAGGGGUACCUUAAUGGGAAAAGGCUACUGGAUCUGUGCAUAGAAGAGUAAAUGGUACAAGAUCUACAGUAUCUUUCAGGAGAUCUGCAGCAAAUGAAACCUUUGCCCAAGAGCAGAUGACUUGUGUUGGAAGCUCUCUAAUGCAUUAUUGAGAUAAUUGUGCCUGGAACCAGGAGGACAUCACCCACGUA